CGAGUGAGAGGGAAGAGCUCAAAUUUGAAAGCUGGUACCUCCGGUAUCCGCGUUGUAACCUCGAGACACGUUUUCCGUGCGGCGCUAUGGACAAGUUCCUUGGAACAGGACAUCGUAGAGGGUGAAAAUCCCGUACUUGCCAUGGAUGUACCGUGCUUUGCGAUACGUGCUCUAAGAGUCGAGUUGUUUGGGAUUGCAGCUCAAAAUGGGUGGUAGACUCCAUCUAAAGCUAAAUAUCGGGGAGAGACCGAUAGCGAACAAGUACCGUGAGGGAAAGAUGAAAAGCACUUUGGAAAGAGAGUUAAAAAGACGUGAAAUUGUCGAAAGGGAAGCGCUUGAAGUCAGCCAUGCCGCUCAGGACUCAGCCUGGCUUUUGCUUGGUGUAUUUCCUGGGUAGCAAGUCAGCAUUGGUUUGGAUCGUCGGAGAAGCAUAGUCGGAAUGUGGCGCCCUCGGGCGUGUUAUAGCCUUCUAUUGGAUACGACGAUCUAGACCAAGGAACGCAGCGCGCCUUAUGGCGGG
rnacentral:rRNA from 1 species